UAACUGAAGAGUUUGAUCAUGGCUCAGAUUGAACGCUGGCGGCAGGCUUAACACAUGCAAGUCGAGCGGGGAAGAUUGCUUCGGUAAUUGACCUAGCGGCGGACGGGUGAGUAAUACUUAGGAAUCUGCCUAUUAAUGGGGGACAACAUCUCGAAAGGGAUGCUAAUACCGCAUACGCCCUACGGGGGAAAGCAGGGGA
rnacentral:rRNA from 1 species